rnacentral:ncRNA from 1 species
UAUUUGCAUCCGAAUUGAGGUUGCGUUUUACUUUUUUUAGAAGACGCAUUAAAAGGGAAUUAGGUUUAAAACCUAAGCUGUACCCGCAACUGUAAGCUACUAAGCUUGUUGUUAUCUACAAAGCCACUGCUCGCCGCGGCGAGUGGGAAGGUCAACAACAAGACGCAAGCCAGGAGACCUGCCUUUUUUCUUAACCAAUAA